GACGAACCGAGCGAACGUUGUUCGGAAUCACUGGGCUUAAAGGGCGCGUAGGCGGGCCGCCGCGUCCGGGGUGAAAUCCUCCCGCUCAACGGGAGAACGGCCUCGGAUACGGGCGGCCCUGGAGGGGGGGUAGGGGCGUGCGGAACUGUGGGUGGAGCGGUGAAAUGCGUUGAUAUCCACAGGAACUCCGGUGGCGAAGGCGGCACGCUGGACCCCACCUGACGCUGAGGCGCGAAAGCCAGGGGGAGCGAACGGGGA
rnacentral:rRNA from 1 species